rnacentral:tRNA from 1 species
GGCCUCGUAGUUCAAUGGAUAGAAUAUCAGAUUCCGGUUCUGAGGGUUGGGGGUUCGAGUCCCUUCGAGGUCACCA